GACCAGGUAGCUCAGCCGGUAGAGCAUCUCACUUUUAAUGAGAGGGUCCUGGGUUCGAAUCCCAGCCCGGUCACAA
rnacentral:tRNA from 1 species